rnacentral:lncRNA from 1 species
GUCUGUGGUAAUUUUCAAUAAGCACUACAAUUGGCAUCUGAUCACUCGCUUGUGAGUGGGAAGAGGUGAGGUGACUAUUAAUUACUUUAUUUAAUGAAUGGGUUUGUGCCCACUGCUGUGUUAUCAGGAGUGUUGUUCACACAAUGUUCUUUUUGGAGCUACAUUUAUGUCCUCUGAAGUUAACAGCCAAACCACCAUCUGAUGAUGACGGCAGUAGAUAAUAGAGGCCACGCAACACAGGAACUCCGGAGUUAACAGAUCACACGUAUGUCUACAGCUUGAUUCCAACAGCUUUUGCCUUUGCUUCAUAAGAAGCCAGCAAAAACAUGUGCCUGCAGGAGGCAGGUCGGUACCUGCCUAGGUAAGCCCAUGUGAAGAGUCACUCUUAUCUUUCUCCUAUUCUUGCCUCCUCAGAACUGCAUUGGCCACAAAUCCCUGGGAGCUAUCGCAGUGUUAGCUCGCCACGAGUGUGACUUCUGCGUGACACGGACAGUGCCAGGCCUGGAGACGCAAUGCACCUGGACUGAGCGCCGAGGAGACAGCGGGCUGCAUGCAGCACUCGGCAGGUUUCUGAACUGCCCUCUCCAGGCUUCCUUCCUGACGCAGGAGCAUCAUGUCCUACUGGCUGUGCCCACCACACUCAGCACCUCUGUGCAUUGA